UACAGAGGUCUCAAGCGUUGUUCGGAUUCAUUGGGCGUAAAGGGUGCGUAGGCGGCGCGGUAAGUCGGGUGUGAAAUCUCGGAGCUUAACUCCGAAACUGCAUUCGAUACUGCCGUGCUUGAGGACUGGAGAGGAGACUGGAAUUUCCGGUGUAGCGGUGAAAUGCGUAGAUAUCGGAAGGAACACCUGUGGCGAAAGCGGCUCACUGGCCCGGUACUGACGCUGAGGUGCGAAAGCGUGGGGAGCAAACAGG
rnacentral:rRNA from 1 species